GGGUGCCGCCCCACGCUCCGGCGGCCGCCGCUCGUAGCCAUGGUACGCAUGCGCGCGGGGCUCGGCGUGGGUGCGGGCGCUUUUCUCUCUCUUGGACCUCGCUUUGUGGCCCCACUGCUCCGCCCCGGGAAGUACUUGGUUUGUAAACCUCAGGAUCCAGGUGUGCGGGGCGACCCAAAUUCUGAAUGUAGCCAAGAGCGUGGCAUGCCUUGAAAGAAGCUGUGAGAUGUUCGCCCUUGUUGUCCUAACGUAUGUUGAGCCCUUUCAUCCCCCGCUGUAGACUGGCGUGCACGCGGGAGAUCUUUGGCCUCCACGGACCUCGCAUCUGCGGCAGCAUCUGAGAGGGAAGUCACCAAUGGUCGCUUCCCUCUGGUAUUCACAAGAUCCCAUGUCCAGCAGCCUGUGAGAAACUGAAUCCUGCUCACAGCCAUGUGAGUGAAUUUGGAGAAACACCUCCCCCACGUGUGCCUUCAGAUGACUGCAGCCCAGCUGACACCUUGAUUGCAGCCUUGUGGAAGCCCCUGAGCCAGAGGUAUCCAGCUAAGCUGCACGUGGGUUCCUCAUACGCAGAAGAUUUGAGAUAAUAAAUGACUGCUGUGGCAAGCUGCUACCUUUUUUUAGUAAUUUGUUAGGAAACAAUGGACAGCUGAUAUGAUUUCCGUCUCUGUCACAAGAUCCGUGGUUCUUAAAUAUACUUUGAAGCUUGUUGGAAAAUACAUAAGCCCAGCCUGCCUGGUGUGGCCCAGUU